rnacentral:rRNA from 1 species
GAUGAACGCUGGCGGCAUGCCUAAUACAUGCAAGUCGAGCGAACAGACGAGGAGCUUGCUCCUCUGACGUUAGCGGCGGACGGGUGAGUAACACGUGGAUAACCUACCUAUAAGACUGGGAUAACUUCGGGAAACCGGAGCUAAUACCGGAUAAUAUAUUGAACCGCAUGGUUCAAUAGUGAAAGACGGUUUUGCUGUCACUUAUAGAUGGAUCCGCGCCGCAUUAGCUAGUUGGUAAGGUAACGGCUUACCAAGGCAACGAUGCGUAGCCGACCUGAGAGGGUGAUCGGCCACACUGGAACUGAGACACGGUCCAGACUCCUACGGGAGGCAGCAGUAGGGAAUCUUCCGCAAUGGGCGAAGGCCUGACGGAGCAACGCCGCGUGAGUGAUGAAGGUCUUCGGAUCGUAAAACUCUUUUAUUAGGGAAGAACAAAUGUGUAAGUAACUAUGCACGUCUUGACGGUACCUAAUCAGAAAGCCACGGCUAACUACGUG